ACCAUUCAAACAAUUUCGCAACCGUCUGAACACUUGUCAGUUUAACGCCCUGCUGAUGGAGUCUGAUUAGUAGAAAUUUGAAACUUGCAGCUUCUUUCUUGUCCUACAAAUAUGAUGACAAGCAUGUACGAAAAAUUAAUAAAGUAGUUGUCAAAUCAGCAGAUGCCAACUUGAUUCAAUAAUUAAGGGAUCAAAAAAGAAAGUGCUUACUACUAGUUGUAUACUUGUAUUUGGGAUGCUGCAGACAUACAAAAAUUGCUCCUUUAAUACUCAAGAACAAAAAAGAAAGUCUAAACAAGCUCCUAUAUGCAGAGUUCAUACUAAAAUCCUUAUGGAAGGGCAACUAAUCCAACGACCCAUAUCCUAUGUGCUUUGAGAGAACAAUACCAACUUGCAAGCAUCUAGUUUACUGCAAUGAAGGGCGGUAAUCUAGAAUGGCACUUAGCAUAGCACCGUUAAAUGUACAUUCCCAAACAUUGGCUGAAUCAAAUAACGAUGUACGAAAACAUCUGGUAUUAGAUACUAUAACUAUACUGCUAUAGUACUACUGGUCAGAUUGUCUUUAUUCUGAAGCAACAAACACCGAAACCAUUUUAAUUAACAGCAAACAGAUUCAUGCAUGGUCAAAAUGUACUACAAGCAGCGGCAACAGCAAAACCAUCGGAUUAAUUGAUCCGAUCCAUACGCAUGAGAUUUCACUACACAACACAAAUUAUUUAGCCAGGUUGAGCUACACAAUUAAACUGCGACUCCCAAGCCCGACUGAAACUAAAUCUAGUACAGGCCAUUCGUCAAACACAGGUAACACCACAUGGGACGGUAUAUUUUACAGGUAGUCACAGAGGUUUCACACAAUAUGAGGACAAAAACUGAAGUAACGGCAAAUGCAACCAGGUUUGAACGCCAAAUUAUGUGCAAACAUUUCUACUGAAGUGCUUGCGGCGAUCAUAAAACUAUGUAAAAAAUAUCUCUUAAAAAAGUAUAUAGGGAUUUGCACUCUGAAUUUCCAAUGAUUAGUUGAGAUCGCAUUUCAAAAUCUUAUCCAGUUUGCCAUUGACUACUAUAUAAUGAUUAUCCAACUUCCUAGGUACCAGCCUACCAGGCAUCAACAGUUCUGAUUAUGCAACUAACUAUAAAGGCAUCCUAUUCUUAGGACAUGUCACAUGUGUACGUCUUCCCUGCAUCCAGCGAUUUGUCGAGGAAUGUUCUAGCUAGCUAGUACAAGCAUUGAGAGAAGGAAUUCCUUGAGGGAAACAUUGCUACUACUAAUGUUAUCUUUCAAUAUGUCACUACUUGCUGCAUCUUCACAAAAUAAAGGAAUAACAAAUAAGUAAUGACAUCAAUCUGCUAUUCUGUGCGCUGGAUAAUGAGAUCAAAUGGAGAGACCUGGUGGAGCUGGCUAAUGAGAUCACCCUGCCCGAGCUCGACCUCCACCGAUGGCUGCGGCCGUUGUGGCUACAACUUCUGCUUCACUCCUGCAACCUUAGCUCGCGGAAGGCAGAAUUGGGCUACAGGGCAUUAGGGGAUAAUUAAACUGAUCUGGUGUGAAAGAAAGAAAUGAAAAGGCAAAACAUAUAUUAGCAUGAGCUUUAUCCAGAAAAACAAAUUUAUCAUAGUUUCUCUUUGGCCCACAUUAUAGCAUAAAUAAGAAUAAAUAACAACAUCCCCUAUUUUAGUAAGUUCGGCUCUACAUCUACAAGACAGAGUAAACAAUAUAUUUCGCAUGGUUAAAUUAGCUAGAUUAGGAUCUCGAAAUGUAUCUCACCCUCUGGGGCGCAUUUGAACAAACAAUUAUAAAAUUCUAUCACGGUAGAUUGUAAGUGACCAAAAACAUUCAUAGAUGAUAUAGCAAAAUCAUUUCCAUGAAAAGCUGUUAUAAAGUUCUAUGACAGGAGAUUGUAAGCAUCUCCUAAUCAAGCCAAACUAUCUAAUUAGAAGGUGUGGAAGGACUACACGCUAAUCUUUGAACUCAAAUUAAGCAUGGUCAACUCCCCAACCAGGACACAUGCAUCACUAACCACGACCACUCCAACCAAGCAUCUCCAGCUCGCUAAUCAGGAGCCAUGGGAGGCAAAUAUAGAUUGUACACUAACUACUAUGGCUCAAACAAUUAGCAAUUGAAAAGCAAAUCACAAGAACUAAGGUGGCAACAACAAGAAGAGAGACAACGUGAGAAAAAAUUAUAGGAGCAGCACACACUCCUGAAACCAGAUGGAACAAGCCGUACAACCCCCACCACCACCUUCAGGAAAUUCGGAAUAAUCUAAAUGUAUAACCAAAAACAGCAUAGAAAAUUGCGAAGAUUAACAAAGGUACAAUAUUGAUGAUUCAUCUCAUGAUAAAAAAAUUACAAGGUAAUGGAGAACAGAUGGGGAGUUGCAAUAACUGCGGACAGGUUGGGG
rnacentral:lncRNA from 1 species